UUUAUUUAAACAAUUAGUAAAUAGCACAGAAUUACUACCAAUUCUCUUAGUGUUUGGAAAUGAUGUGAAAUUUUCCACAUUUUGUUGAGGAGAAGCAAAUCUUGUAUAUGGAGCUGAUCAUUUGCUGUCUAGUUCCCUUUCUUUUAAUAGUCAUCAGACAUCUGCUCUCUUGAGAAGAGUCAUGAGCUGUUCUCUGUUCUGUCCAGUUUGUGUCCUGUGGUGAUGUAACUCCUCCACAAAGUCUGUUGUCUUGGACAACUUAAAUGGCUUUAUUCCUAGAUCCUGUUGUUUUGGCUGGCUGAGUUCCUGUUCAUCAAUAUUACACUUACCUUACAGUAACCCUGGUACAAUAUGUUUCUGGAGGAAGAAGACCAGAUGGACCUGGUCUCAUAGGUGAAUUGCUGGAAGCAGAAUAUGCCAUUUGUUCCUCAGUAGCAGUGUAAUAGCACAGACCGUUGUACACUUCCCUAUGUUUUGCCCACGCCAGAAGGAGAGGCUUUAUCAGCACAGUUUGUUGGAGAGGGUGGGGGGUUGUUUCAAGAUGGAGAGCAGCUAGAUCUGCAUUUGCCCUGCCUCCAUGUGCUCUGCAGAUUGGAAAAAAUAAAUCAGCAGCUGAUAAAAAUGUGAUGACUCAGCUAAAUGUAAAAGGAGAAGUAUUUCCCACUGUUCAUCCAGAGCUCUCAUGUGCAGCCCUGCUCUUUUAUGGAUUACUUUCACUGUUAGUUAUGAUUUAGUUUUAUAAGCAGAGCAAUGAAACCUCUGCCCUUGUAUGUUGAAUGGAUUUGUUUCUAGGGAGCAUGGAAUGCACUUGCACGUGCUUUGUCCUCAAAUCUACCCAAAUAGCCUGAGAGAAAGAAAACUUGGAAAGGAAGGGAGGUACGGUGAUAAAGACAAGAAAAUAGAGCACUGACUUCUAUAUUCCAAGUGGUUUCUUGUAUAAUUUUAGGAAUUCGGUUUCUUUGUCCUGAACUUCAAUUAGUAUCUCCUCUUCUGCACCCCUCCAGAUUACAUUACUGUUUAUACUAAAACCCCACUAGAACUCUCUGCUGAAAGAGCUAUGGAAAUGUUCACUAACACAGUUCAGGGAAAAGGCUUUCUGCUCUCUGAUUGUGGAUCAAAUGUUUUUGUUUAUAAAGUGGAAUAUUGAAAACUUUA